rnacentral:rRNA from 2 species
GUCGAGCGGACAGAAGGGAGCUUGCUCCCGAAGUCAGCGGCGGACGGGUGAGUAACACGUAGGUAACCUGCCCCUUAGACUGGGAUAACUCCGGGAAACCGGAGCUAAUACGGGAUAAUAAAGAGAAUCACCUGAUUCUCUUUUGAAAGACGGUUUCGGCUGUCACUAAGGGAUGGGCCUGCGGCGCAUUAGCUAGUUGGUAAGGUAACGGCUUACCAAGGCGACGAUGCGUAGCCGACCUGAGAGGGUGAUCGGCCACACUGGGACUGAGACACGGCCCAGACUCCUACGGGAGGCAGCAGUAGGGAAUCUUCCGCAAUGGACGAAAGUCUGACGGAGCAACGCCGCGUGAGUGAGGAAGGCCUUCGGGUCGUAAAGCUCUGUUGUGAGGGAAGAACAAGUACCGGCGUAACUACCGGUACCUUGACGGUACCUCACCAGAAAGCCACGGCUAACUACGUGCCAGCAGCCGCGGUAAUACGUAGGUGGCAAGCGUUGUCCGGAAUUAUUGGGCGUAAAGCGCGCGCAGGCGGCUUCUUAAGUCUGAUGUGAAAUCUCGGGGCUCAACCCCGAGCGGCCAUUGGAAACUGGGAAGCUUGAGUGCAGAAGAGGAGAGUGGAAUUCCACGUGUAGCGGUGAAAUGCGUAGAUAUGUGGAGGAACACCAGUGGCGAAGGCGACUCUCUGGUCUGUAACUGACGCUGAGGCGCGAAAGCGUGGGGAGCAAACAGGAUUAGAUACCCUGGUAGUCCACGCCGUAAACGAUGAGUGCUAGGUGUUAGGGGUUUCGAUGCCCGUAGUGCCGAAGUAAACACAU